rnacentral:rRNA from 1 species
AUGCGUAUGUUGAGAUGGAUGUGUGGCCACACGAGGAAGGAUCGAGUCCGGAAUGAUGAUAUACGAGAUAGAGUUGGGGUAGCAUCAAUUGAAGAGAAGCUUGUCCAACAUCGUCUGAGAUGGUUUGGGCAUAUUCAGCGCAGGCCUCCAGAAGCUCCAAUGCAUAGCGGACGGCUAAAGCGUAUGGAGAAUGUCAAGAGAGGGCGGGGUAGACCGAAUUUGACAUGGGAGGAGUCCGUUAAGAGAGACCUGAAGGAUUGGAGUAUCACCAAAGAGCUAGCUAUGGACAGGGGUGUGUGGAAGCUUGCUAUCCAUGUGCCAGAGCCAUGA